AAACUUGAGAGUUUGAUCAUGGCUCAGAACGUACGCUGGCGGCACGCCUAACACAUGCAAGUCGAACGAAGUAGCAAUACUUAGUGGCAGACGGGUGAGUAACAUGUAGGUAUCUGCCCUUUGGCCUGGAAUAACACGAGGAAACUUGUGCUAAUACCGGAUAAGUCUUUACGGAGAAAGCUUUAUGCACCAUUGGAUGAGCCUGCACUUGAUUAGUUUGUUGGUGGGGUAAUGGCCUACCAAGACUAUGAUCAAUAGCUGAUUUGAGAGGAUGAUCAGCCACAUUGGGACUGAGACACGGCCCAAACUCCUACGGGAGGCAGCAGUGGGGAAUCUUGCACAAUGGAGGAAACUCUGAUGCAGCGAUGCCGCGUGAGUGAAGAAGGCCCUUGGGUUGUAAAGCUCUUUCGUCGGGGAAGAAAAUGACUGUACCCGAAUAAGAAGGUCCGGCUAACUUCGUGCCAGCAGCCGCGGUAAUACGAAGGGACCUAGCGUAGUUCGGAAUUACUGGGCUUAAAGAGUUCGUAGGUGGUUGAAAAAGUUGGUGGUGAAAUCCCAGGGCUUAACUCUGGAACUGCCAUCAAAACUUUUCAGCUAGAGUAUGAUAGAGGAAAGCAGAAUUUCUAGUGUAGAGGUGAAAUUCGUAGAUAUUAGAAAGAAUACCAAUUGCGAAGGCAGCUUUCUGGAUCAUUACUGACACUGAGGAACGAAAGCAUGGGUAGCGAAGAGGAUUAGAUACCCUCGUAGUCCAUGCCGUAAACGAUGUGUGUUAGACGUUGGAAAUUUAUUUUCAGUGUCGCAGCGAAAGCGAUAAACACACCGCCUGGGGAGUACGACCGCAAGGUUAAAACUCAAAUGAAUUGACGGGGACCCGCACAAGUAGUGGAGCAUGUGGUUUAAUUCGAAGAUACGCGCAGAACCUUACCAACACUUGACAUGUUCGUCGCGACUUUAAGAGAUUAAAGUUUUCGGUUCGGCCGGACGAAACACAGGUGCUGCAUGGCUGUCGUCAGCUCGUGUCGUGAGAUGUUGGGUUAAGUCCCGCAACGAGCGCAACCCUCACUUUUAGUUGCCAUCAUUAAGUUGGGCACUCUGAAAGAACUGCCAGUGAUAAGCUGGAGGAAGGUGGGGAUGACGUCAAGUCCUCAUGGCCCUUACGUGUUGGGCUACACACGUGCUACAAUGGUAUCUACAACAGGAAGCAAGACUGCGAAGUUAAGCAAAUCCUUAAAAGAUACCUCAGUUCGGAUUGCACUCUGCAACUCGAGUGCAUGAAGCUGGAAUUACUAGUAAUCGUGGAUCAGCGUGCCACGGUGAAUGCGUUCCCGGGUCUUGUACACACCGCCCGUCACACCAUGGGAGUUGGUUCUACCUUAAGGCAAGGUUUUAAACCCUUGACCACGGUAUAGUCAGCGACUGGGGUGAAGUCGUAACAAGGUAGCCGUAGGGGAACCUGCGGCUGGAUUACCUCCUUU
rnacentral:rRNA from 1 species